UACGUAGGUGACAAGCGUUAUCCGGAUUUAUUGGGCGUAAAGCGCACGCAGGCGGCCAUUCCAGUCUGACGUGAAAUCUCUCGGCUUAACCGGGAGCGGUCGUUGGAAACUGAGUGGCUUGAGGCGAUGAGAGGGGUGUGGAAUUCCCGGUGUAGUGGUGGAAUGCGUAGAUAUCGGGGGGAACAUCAGUGGCGAAAGCGGCACCCUGGCAUUAGCCUGACGCUCAUGUGCGAAAGCGUGGGGAGCGAACGGG
rnacentral:rRNA from 1 species